rnacentral:misc_RNA from 1 species
AACUUUCGGCAAUGGAUCACUUGGUUCUCGCACCGAUGAAGAACGCAGCGAACUGCGAUACGUAAUGUGACUUGCAGAAUCUCGUGAAUCAUCGAAUCUUUGAACGCAAAUGGCGCCCCCGGGUCCACCGGGGGCACGCCUGUCUGAGUAUCACCCACCUCGCCCUCCGGCCCGCCCGGGCCGGGGUGUGGCGGCCACGCCCGCGAGGGCGCGCCCGCUGAAAGCCACUUUUUUGUACCUGGAGCUGCGCGCGCGGCGCGGCCCCGACGCUGUAAGCCCUCGUGCCUCUCGUCGGCGCCGCCCCGCAGGCCAGUCUCCCCGUUCCGUGAUCUCAGAUCAGGCGAGAGGACCCGCUGAACUUAAGCAUAUCAAUAAGCGGAGGCU